rnacentral:rRNA from 1 species
GACGAACGCUGGCGGCGUGCUUAACACAUGCAAGUCGAACGGAAAGGCCUGCUUUCCCUUGUGGAUUGCGGGUACUCGAGUGGCGAACGGGUGAGUAACACGUGAGUGAUCUGCCCCCAACUUGGGUAUAAGCCUGGGAAACUGGGUCUAAUUCCCGAUAGGACUGCAGGGUGGUGCCUGUGGUGGAAAACGAUUUUCUAGUGGUUGGGGAUGAGCUCGCGGCCUAUCAGCUUGUUGGUGGGGUAAUGGCCUACCAAGGCGGCGACGGGUAGCCGGCCUGGGAGGGUGGACGGCCACAUUGGGCCUGAGAUACGGCCCAGACUCCUACGGGAGGCAGCAGUGGGGAAUAGUGGACAAUGGGCGGAAGCCUGAUGCAGCGACGCCGCGUGGGGGAUGACGGCCUUCGGGUUGUAAACUCCUUUCGACCGCGAGGAAGCCACCUGGUUGGAAGGGUGGUGACGGUAGUGGUAGAAGAAGCACCGGCUAACUACGUG